CUCUGUGACUGGCUUGCUUGAUGGUUAGGGUCUGAUCGCUGCCUGAGACACCAUAUCGGUACUCCUCAGAGUUGAUUCUGCAUGUGAAAAACAUAAAAAGAAAAAAAGUCAACUUCUUCAUGCAAUGUGAUCACAGGAUCUGGUUUGCCACUGAAAGGAAUCUUGAUGCUGACCACUUCACCUCGGAGAGCAUGAACUGCUCCCAUGCCUUCAAGAGUUUUAGGAUGGCAUCAACUGUUCCAAAAACAUUGCUGAGCUGGACUUUGUAUUUCCCAGCAUGAGUCUUACGUUGGACAUUCUUCAUGACAAGAUGAGUAUAGUGCUCAGUGUUUUCAAUAGUAAUGUUUUCUGAGUUUUGCAAAAGUUUCUGACCAUGGAACCAAGUCAUGGCAGGUACUGGACGACCAAUGUACAUAACAUGAAGCCGAAGUGUGGAACCCACAGCUCCAUAAUAUUUCUCUUUCAGUGGGUAACCAGGAUGGAACUGCGGUGUUGCUUGCAGGAGAAGCUUACUACUGGUUUCUACUUCUCCAACCUCAUUGGUGGCUAUGCAGGCACUGUCUCCAGACUGUCUAUAUUCAACCCAGUAUCCAAGAAUUUCUUUACCACCAUCACAUUCAGGUUUCUCCCACUGUAGAGUGACACUAUCUUUGGAUAUUGAAAGAAUCUCAAGUUCUCCUGGUUGGCUUGGUUUAUCUGAAAUAUUUUAAAAUAAUGAAAAGGGAGUCAGCUUUACUGGUGAAAUAAAAGGACCAAACAU
rnacentral:antisense_RNA from 1 species